rnacentral:rRNA from 1 species
GACGAACGCUGGCGGCGUGCCUAAUACAUGCAAGUUGAGCGCUGAAGGUUGGUACUUGUACCAACUGGAUGAGCAGCGAACGGGUGAGUAACGCGUGGGGAAUCUGCCUUUGAGCGGGGGACAACAUUUGGAAACGAAUGCUAAUACCGCAUAAAAACUUUAAACACAAGUUUUAAGUUUGAAAGAUGCAAUUGCAUCACUCAAAGAUGAUCCCGCGUUGUAUUAGCUAGUUGGUGAGGUAAAGGCUCACCAAGGCGAUGAUACAUAGCCGACCUGAGAGGGGGAACGGCAAAAUUGGGAAUGGAAAAAGGCCAAAAAUCCAAAGGGAGGCAGAAGUAGGGAAACUUCGGAAAUGGACGAAAGUCGGACCGAGAAACGCCGGGGGAGUGAAGAAGGUUUUGGGAUCUAAAAACUUUGUGGGAAGAGAAAAACGUUGGGGAGAGGGGAAAGCCAAUAAAGGGACGGGAAAUACCCAAAAAGGGACGGAAAACUACGU